rnacentral:rRNA from 1 species
CUCUUUUCGUUUAUUUGAAAAGUAUAACCUGCCCACUGAAAGGAAUUAAAGGGCCGCGGUAAUUUGACCGUGCAAAGGUAGCAUAAUCAUUAGUCUCUUAAUUAGGGGCUGGAAUGAAUGGUUGGACGAGAUAUAGACUGUCUUAUAAUUUUAAUUAGAAUUUAAUUAUUAAGUAAAAAAGCUUAAAUUUAAUUAUGGGACGAGAAGACCCUAUAGAGUUUAAUAAUCAAUUUUAUAUUAUUUGUUGGAAUAUAAAAUUAUAAUUUUGAUUAUUUUGUUGGGGUGAUGGAAAGAUAAAAUUAACUCUUUUUAUUUUUGAAUAUUAAUAUAUAGAAUAUUGAUCCAUUAAUAAUGAUUAUAAGUCUAAAUUACCUUAGGGAUAACAGCGUAAUCUUUUUUGAGAGUUCAUAUCGACAAUAAGGGUUGCGA